CAGCAUAAAGGGGAGCCGAGGCUCCCCUUUAAAUCGUUGCACGUGCUCUUUUUUAUUGUUGUAGGGCGGUCUGUUGUUGUUUUUGGCAACCGGUCCCUCUACAGCGUCUUCAGUGGUCCCCAUCCGGGACACAAGAGCAAACGUAUUUUUUUGAGCGCUGAUCUGCUUCGAUGCCUUCGUUUGGCGAAGUAUCCAACCCGUUCUGGACGCUACCUGAAGGUAGUU
rnacentral:misc_RNA from 1 species